GGGGUUGUUUGUUUCACUGGGACGUUCCCCACUCCAGGACCGGGAAAGUUGUAAAUAUGGGGACGAUCGGGGCACAUUGGCCGAUAGUUGUAUUGUUUCCGCCUCCUCACUAGCUCCGGCUCCUCUCCCGGGCGAGGCCUGUCACCGACCAGCCGUCGCUCCGCUCAGCCCGGAGCUCUCCUAAUCCCCGAGCUCAAGUAGAUUCCGCUGGCCCGCGGCCUGCACUCUCCGCCGGGCCUACGCCUCCCCGGCCGCCCGGCAGGAGCCCCCGUUUCCCCGUCACCCAAGCCGGCCGGGCGAGAGGGGGGAACCAACCCGCCGCCACCCAGGGUGCCCGCCGCCGGGAGAAGGAGCGAACUCUCGACUCGCCCCGUGGAAGAGACCUGGGGCCGCUGAGGAAACGGCGGGGAGGGGAAGAGAGGAGGAGAAACGCUGAGGACCUGGCGCCGGCGCCUCCGCCGCCGCCGCCACUGCCGCCGGAGCCGCCGCCGAAAUAAAGAGCAGGAAUUUACCUGGGCGAAUCGGCGUCUGAAUCCGAGCGGAGGCCGAGGCCGCUGUGGCAAACACUCACAAACACCCGAGCAGGGGCCCGAGCUACCGGGGGGGCAUCGCCGCGGGCCCGGGAACCAAUCCUCCUGUCGGCGGGGGCGUCCCUCCCUGCGGCUGGCUGGUGUCGGGUGAGUCGGUACCGACGGAGGGAGGGGGGGGGAGGGCAGGCGGGGGGGAAGGAGCCCUGUGUGUGUGUCUCUCUCUCUCGUUCCGUCUCUCCCUCUCAGAACAAAAUGCCGACCGGAAGUGCAGCUGCAGGAAUGACUCCCUCCGCCGGCGCCAAACACUAACAACCACCCCCUCUUCCCCACUCCACUUCCGCCACCGCCGCCGCCGCCGCAGCCGCCGUCGCCGCCAGUCGGGCUCGCAGCUCGGCCUCAGAGGAAUCGGUUCCCGCGGACCCGGGGCCUCGGCGACGGUGACGGCGGCGUUUCUUCUCGGCGUCCUUGUCCCGCCCUGGACGGCCGCCGCCUGUGGUGUCGCUCCUGCCGGGCGGCGUAGCCUGGGGGCCCGGCUCUCCCCGGCUUGAGCGCUCCUGAAGGCGACAGCAGCCGGGCGCUGGGCCGGUGCGGUGGCCGAGCAGCCGGGGCGCGCGCGCUCGUCUCGAGCGCUCCGGGCCUCACAGGCCGCGGACGGCGGCUAGCGGAGGUCGCCCUGCGCACCCUGCCUCGGCGGCCAUCAGCCCCUGGGAAGCCGAGCUCGGGCGGCCGGCCGGCCGGUGGAUGCCGACGGUGCGCCUUGUAAACGGUGUCCCCGCAGCCGUGAUGGAUGGAUCGCACGCCUCCCGUCCUUGGAGCGGCAGGACUCUAUCCGUCUGUGUUAUUUCUGCGGAGGACACAAUGCUCGGAGGGGAAGGCUCCCAGCCUGGCUGAGUUUGGAAUCGUGAUCGUGAUGCAUUAAUUUCUGGAAAUACACGGGCGCUGAUGGAUUUGCUUUUUUUUUUCUCUCUCUCUUUUUGACCGUGGUUUGAUUCAUCCCUGAUAGUCGGGCUAAGGCCUGUAGGCGACGCUGUGCGAGCAAGGAGCCGGGCGCUCCGGCGCGGCGGUCUCGGUGUGGGUGGAGCCGAGGCCGUCCGGACGCGGGGCACCGGAACCCGGGGACCGGCGCACUUCAGACGACGUUUUCCUCUUUAUGUUUGAAACUCAGGCACUGGACAAGGCUGGAGUACAAAAUGUGAAUAGACAUACAGUACCGGGCCUGUCUGUAUUGUCUUAUUGUAAGACAAGAGGGAAUUCCAUCGCUACACAGCUUUCUCUAUUUUUUUCUUUUUUGUAAAAGGGGGCUGUUCUUCAGGUAAAAAGUGCCAGUAGGUAAGCGGAUUCUACUCAGGAGGAAACAUACUAUUUUUUUUAAAUGAAUUAAGUUGUCAACUUCAAAUUUUAUUCGUAUGUGUACAGAUGUGCUAGAAGGAUGUGGGGCAGCUCACCUACAGGUUUUUCUGUUUUUUAGAAGUCGAUGGGGGCGAGGUAUUAAGAUUUUGUCUUUACUGCCCUCCUGACCCUGUGGAGUAAGUCAGGGGCUAACGAGUCAAGCAAGGACCGGGGAAGAAAGGAACCCGAUUGGCAUCCUUGCAAAUAAAACUAUGUCUCGCCAUGCUGCUGCUGUCUUUCCCCAGAGCGUCCGUUGAAGUUGUCUCCGUCUUCAGGGUUUCGCUCGGGUGCCACCUGGUGCCUCCACCGCUCCUGUUUACCUUCCAGGUUGGCGGCUUCCUUCUCAUUCUGUCAUCCGGGCUUUCAGCCUUGCCUUACUCUUUGCCCAGUAGCCCGGCAGCUUGAGGAGAUGAAGUUUAGCUUUCCUUCGCUGGUGUUAUGUAUGCAUCGCUCUGUGGAUGCCUCUGGCACCCUCCUCCCUUAUUUCUCAACUCUACCCUUUAAUACGAGCUUAUAUAUACCUAAAAGAGCAGAUGGUGAAAACAAGAAAAAAAUGUAGACGGAACGGAGAAUACUGGAAACAGAAGGAGCUAAACACAAGAUUUCAUAUGCUGUAUGAUUCAUUCACAUGGACUGGCAGGAGAGACCUGUGUGGACAGAACAGAGCGUUCUCUACAGAGGAGGCUCAGGUUCAGUAAAUGUCAAUACCUCCCUUGCCACAUCCAACAGUGUGGAGACCCAAACGCGCGACCAAAGGAGCAUGCAAAGGCCUGAGUUCCAUGUCAUGUGAGUGGCGGUGAGAAGAUAGCUUUCAGGAAUCUGUUCUCUCCUUCCACCACAUGGAUCCCAAGGAUUGAACUCAGAUCACCAAGCUUGGUACAAGGCAAGACGUGAAACAGCCCAGAAAACAGAAGAAAAGAAGAUUGAAGGGGAAAAGGAAACGGUAUAAUUGCAGAGACACAGGAGCUAGAGCCGGCAGAAAUGAUGAAAGCUGUGGGCGUGAGUGACAGAAGAGACCCCUUUAAGAGUGACCAGAAACUAGUUCCAUAGCUCACGUGCUCUGGAGCUCUGGAAACUGUGGCUGCUUGCAGAGAGACUACUGACCGAUGAGGAUGAUGGCACACAAUGUCACCUCUACUUCAGUUCCCGCCUCCAGGUUUCUACCCGGCUUGAGUCCCUGUCCUGCUCCCUUCAGCGAUGGACUGAGAUGGGGAACUGUAAACUGAAAUAAAUC